GAAGUUUCAAUCAGAUGCUUGCAGAUGCCAAUGCGCAAAAUAACACGGCAGGGGCAUCAGUGCCAGGGAAACCUGCCGUAUCUAUGCCUGCAACUAAUCUAAAUAUUGGAAUGGACUUAUGGAAUGCAUCUGCUGCUGCUGCUCCUGGAGCUGCAAAAAUGAGAACCAAUGCAUCUGGUGCCUCAUCAGCAAUAGUUCCUGCAAUAAUGCCUGAACAAUGGAUACAAGACGAGCGUGAACUGAAAAGACAGAAGAGGAAGCAAUCUAACAGGGAGUCAGCCAGAAGAUCAAGAUUACGGAAGCAGGCAGAGUGUGAAGAGCUACAAGCUAGGGUAGAGAAUUUGACUAAUGACAGUCGCAGUCUUAGAGAGGAACUGCGGAGGGUAUCUGAAGAAUGCGAGAAACUUAAAUCUGAAAAUGAUUCUAUUAAGGAAGAAUUGACAAGGUUGUAUGGACCAGAUGCAGUAGCAAACCUCGAACAAAGCAACCACUCUUCGGUUGUUCAGUCUCAUGGCGACGAGGAAAACAGUUAAUAGUGAAGACGUGUGAGAAAAGAGGAAGAAUAUUUCUUGACCUUAAUCCGAGCCUAGAAUAUUGGUUUUCCCUACUGACUAUACCCUUAACCCUUGAUAGUUAUAAUUGUAACAUGGCUCCUCGACUAGCCUAAUGCGCAUUGUUGUAUUGUUGAUGAAUUUAGUCGGAGGAUAAAGAAAGAAUAGAGUUUUGUUUCUUACUCUCUUGUCAUUUUGCGAGUUGCACUC
rnacentral:misc_RNA from 1 species